GCAGUGUUACCAACCACCAAGCAGGCCCGCAGCGCCAUCACACCGUCAUGUCGACCAAAGAAGAAAAGAAAUAUAGAAAUAUAGAUCACCAGCCCGCAAAACAAUCCACAAAUGACACGAGAUAUGUGCCCUCCGGAUGUUAAGAAAAUUCCUAAAGGAAGGAAGGAAAAGAAGAGGAAUGAUACACUGACAGAUGCCAGGAAUGCAGCCAAAAUCAAGCUAAAACAAACUAAAAACAAACGAUACAAUGGUAUCAUAUGUAAAUGCAGAUGAUCACGCAUCCUCGCAAGACAUUAUCCUUGUGAGCAUUUGUGAUGGAGCGACAGCUGUGUACCCAACAUUAGAGCGAUAACAAACGUAA